GGACUACCGGGGUAUCUAAUCCUGUUUGCUCCCCACGCUUUCGCACAUGAGCGUCAGUAUUGGGCCAGGCAGUCGCUUUCGCCACUGAUGUUCCUUCCGAUAUCUACGCAUUUCACCGCUACACCGGAAAUUCCACUGCCCUCUCCCAUACUCUAGUAAUGCAGUCUCGAAUGCAGUUCCCAGGUUGAGCCCGGGGCUUUCACACCCGACUUACAAAACCGCCUACGCGCGCUUUACGCCCAGUAAUUCCGAUUAACGCUCGCACCCUCUGUAUUACCGCGGCUGCUGGCAC
rnacentral:rRNA from 2 species